rnacentral:rRNA from 1 species
GUCCACGCCGUAAACGAUGUCUACUAGCUGUUCGUGGUCUUGUACUGUGAGUAGCGCAGCUAACGCACUAAGUAGACCGCCUGGGGAGUACGGUCGCAAGAUUAAAACUCAAAUGAAUUGACGGGGGCCCCGCACAAGCGGUGGAGCAUGUGGUUUAAUUCGACGCAACGCGAAGAACCUUACCUACUCUUGACAUCUAGCGAAGACUGCAGAGAUGCGGUUGUGCCUUCGGGAACGCUAAGACAGGUGCUGCAUGGCUGUCGU